UUUCUGACCUAUCAGCUUUCGACGGUAGGGUAUUGGCCUACCGUGGCAGUGACGGGUAACGGGGAAUUAGGGUUCGAUUCCGGAGAGGGAGCCUGAGAAACGGCUACCACAUCUAAGGAAGGCAGCAGGCGCGCAAAUUACCCAAUGAAAACAGUUUCGAGGUAGUGACGAGAAAUAACAAUACAGGGCAUUUUAUGCUCUGUAAUUGGAAUGAUGGGAAUCUAAAACCCUUUCAGAGUAACAAUUGGAGGGCAAGUCUGGUGCCAGCAGCCGCGGUAAUUCCAGCUCCAAUAGCGUAUAUUAGAGUUGUUGCAGUUAAAAAGCUCGUAGUUGGAUUUCUGUCGUGGUCUUCCGGUUUCGCCCGUACGGGUGUUGACUUGGGUAGCCCUCGGCAUUCUUCCGGUGCCUUCCCCGCUUCACUGCGUGGUAGGUUUCUCCGGAACUUUUACUUUGAGAAAAAUAGAGUGUUUCAAGCAGGCUUUCGCCUUGAAUACUUCAGCAUGGAAUAAUAAGAUAGGACUUUGGUUCUAUUUUGUUGGUUUCUAGGACUAAAGUAAUGAUUAAUAGGGACAGUUGGGGGCAUUCGUAUUUAA
rnacentral:rRNA from 1 species